rnacentral:piRNA from 1 species
UGGGAAGAUGCUGAGACCAUGCUUCAGUGC